AGCUGGCGGAGCUACCAUGCAGUCGAGCGGAACGAUGGAAGCUUGCUUCCAGGCGUCGAGCGGCGGACGGGUGAGUAAUGCAUAGGAAUCUGCCCGAUAGUGGGGGAUAACCUGGGGAAACCCAGGCUAAUACCGCAUACGUCCUACGGGAGAAAGCAGGGGAUCUUCGGACCUUGCGCUAUCGGAUGAGCCUAUGUCGGAUUAGCUAGUUGGUGAGGUAACGGCUCACCAAGGCCGCGAUCCGUAGCUGGUCUGAGAGGAUGAUCAGCCACAUCGGGACUGAGACACGGCCCGAACUCCUACGGGAGGCAGCAGUGGGGAAUAUUGGACAAUGGGCGAAAGCCUGAUCCAGCCAUGCCGCGUGUGUGAAGAAGGCUUUCGGGUUGUAAAGCACUUUCAGUGGGGAAGAAAUCCUCGGGGCCAAUACCCUCGAGGGAGGACAUCACCCACAGAAGAAGCACCGGCUAACUCCGUGCCAGCAGCCGCGGUAAUACGGAGGGUGCGAGCGUUAAUCGGAAUUACUGGGCGUAAAGCGCGCGUAGGCGGCGUGAUAAGCCGGUUGUGAAAGCCCCGGGCUCAACCUGGGAACGGCAUCCGGAACUGUCAGGCUAGAGUGCAGGAGAGGAAGGUAGAAUUCCCGGUGUAGCGGUGAAAUGCGUAGAGAUCGGGAGGAAUACCAGUGGCGAAGGCGGCCUUCUGGACUGACACUGACGCUGAGGUGCGAAAGCGUGGGUAGCAAACAGGAUUAGAUACCCUGGUAGUCCACGCCGUAAACGAUGUCGACUAGCCGUUGGGGUCCUUGUGACCUUUGUGGCGCAGUUAACGCGAUAAGUCGACCGCCUGGGGAGUACGGCCGCAAGGUUAAAACUCAAAUGAAUUGACGGGGGCCCGCACAAGCGGUGGAGCAUGUGGUUUAAUUCGAUGCAACGCGAAGAACCUUACCUACUCUUGACAUCGUGCGAACUUUCCAGAGAUGGAUUGGUGCCUUCGGGAACGCACAGACAGGUGCUGCAUGGCCGUCGUCAGCUCGUGUUGUGAAAUGUUGGGUUAAGUCCCGUAACGAGCGCAACCCUUGUCCCUAUUUGCCAGCGAUUCGGUCGGGAACUCUAGGGAGACUGCCGGUGACAAACCGGAGGAAGGUGGGGACGACGUCAGGUCAUCAUGGCCCUUACGAGUAGGGCUACACACGUGCUACAAUGGCCGGUACAAAGGGUUGCGAAGCCGCGAGGUGGAGCUAAUCCCGAAAAGCCGGUCUCAGUCCGGAUCGGAGUCUGCAACUCGACUCCGUGAAGUCGGAAUCGCUAGUAAUCGUGAAUCAGAAUGUCACGGUGAAUACGUUCCCGGGCCUUGUACACACCGCCCGUCACACCAUGGGAGUGGACUGCACCAGAAGUGGUUAGCCUAACUUCGGAGGGCGAUCACCACGUGUAAGGCC
rnacentral:rRNA from 1 species